CUCCUCUCAGGAUCGCACCUGGAGAGUUUCCAGCACUCUACCAGUCUCGUUUACGAGAGGGAGAGUUAAGCAGAGGCCUACCCAUUUCAUUCCUAGCUUGGGCAGUGGCUAAUGAGGGGAAGGCAAUCUGCUACAAGU